UGGGGAAUAUUGGACAAUGGGCGCAAGCCUGAUCCAGCCAUGCCGCGUGAGUGACGAAGGCCUUAGGGUUGUAAAGCUCUUUUGGCGGGGAAGAUAAUGACGGUACCCGCAGAAUAAGCUCCGGCUAACUUCGUGCCAGCAGCCGCGGUAAUACGAAGGGAGCUAGCGUUGUUCGGAAUCACUGGGCGUAAAGCGCACGUAGGUGGGCAGUUAAGUCAGGGGUGAAAGCCCGAGGCUCAACCUCGGAAUUGCCUCUGAUACUGGCUGUCUAGAGUUCGAGAGAGGUGAGUGGAAUUCCUAGUGUAGAGGUGAAAUUCGUAGAUAUUAGGAAGAACACCGGUGGCGAAGGCGGCUCACUGGCUCGAUACUGACACUGAGGCGCGAAAGCGUGGGGAUCAAACAGGAUUAGAUACCCUAGUAGUCCCUGAGCGGGCUGGCAAGGCGCAU
rnacentral:rRNA from 1 species